AAGCAGAGGGGGCUUAGUGGUGGGGUGACUGCGUACCUUUUGUAUAAUGGGUCAGCGACUUAUAUUCUGUAGCAAGGUUAACCGUAUAGGGGAGCCGGAGGGAAACCGAGUCUUAAUUGGGCGUUAAGUUGCAGGGUAUAGACCCGAAACCCGGUGAUCUAGCCAUGGGCAGGUUGAAGGUUGGGUAACACUAACUGGAGGACCGAACCGACUAAUGUUGAAAAAUUAGCGGAUGACCUGUGGCUGGGGGUGAAAGGCCAAUCAAACCGGGAGAUAGCUGGUUCUCCCCGAAAGCUAUUUAGGUAGCGCCUCGUGAAUUCAUCUCCGGGGGUAGAGCACUGUUUCGGCCAGGGGGCCAUCCCGGCUUACCAAUCCGAUGCAAACUGCGAAUACCGGAGAAUGUUAUCACGGGAGACACACGGCGGGUGCUAACGUCCGUCGUGAAGAGGGAAACAACCCAGACCGCCAGCUAAGGUCCCAAAGUCAUGGUUAAGUGGGAAACGAUGUGGGAAGGCCCAGACAGCCAGGAUGUUGGCUUAGAAGCAGCCAUCAUUUAAAGAAAGCGUAAUAGCUCACUGGUCGAGUCGGCCUGCGCGGAAGAUGUAACGGGGCUAAACCAUGCACCGAAGCUGCGGCAGCGACACUGAUGUGUUGUUGGGUAGGGGAGCGUUCUGUAAGCCGUUGAAGGUGGCCUGUGAGGGUUGCUGGAGGUAUCAGAAGUGCGAAUGCUGACAUAAGUAACGAUAAAGCGGGUGAAAAGCCCGCUCGCCGGAAGACCAAGGGUUCCUGUCCAACGUUAAUCGGGGCAGGGUGAGUCGACCCCUAAGGCGAGGCCGAAAGGCGUAGUCGAUGGGAAACGGGUUAAUAUUCCCGUACUUGGUGUUACUGCGAAGGGGGGACGGAGAAGGCUAUGUUGGCCGGGCGACGGUUGUCCCGGUUUAAGCGUGUAGGUGUGUGUUCCAGGUAAAUCCGGUU
rnacentral:rRNA from 1 species